rnacentral:lncRNA from 1 species
CCAACAGAUGUUCCUUCUUUGAUUGAUGUCUGUGCUUUCCUAAACUUUGUGAUGAAAAUUAGCAUCAACAGCAAACAAAUAAAUCAUAUUGAUUCUAUUGACAGAAUGCAUAUAAAACAUGGUCACUGGAAGUUCAUUCUUACAUUAGGAAAAUAUGUGGAAGAAAAACAGUAAGCUCCCUGCUAGCAUAAUUUCUUUCAAGUUUCUCCUGUAAGAUUAUUAGAUCUCUGGUAUAGAAAUUCUACAUGGGUAAAACAUUUGUCAUCUUUGGAAAAGAUGCACAUCCAAGGACCACUUUUAGAGAUAAAAUAAAUAAUUUGCCCCUCGUGUUUGGCUCUUAGAUCCCUAAGAGAUUACACAUCUAUGCACCUUCCAUAAUUAGUGAAUUUGAAGGCCUAGUAGUGCACUCAGAAUUCCAUCAUUGCCAAUAAGCAUUUAUUGGCAAUGGUGGCAUUCUGAGUGCCCAACCAGAUUCUGUUCCUGUAAAGGAACAGAAUUUGGUUGGGCUUAUUUGGUAAUGGUAGGACUUCUUCAUGUGAACCAAGUUGGGUUUGUUAGCACAUUAUGAUUGAUUUCUUCAACAGUCAUACAAGAAAUCAGUGAUACAACUUUAGUAUUAGGAUCUAAGAAUAAAGGACUCCAUAUUCACCUCAGUAGAAUAUAAUUUUAGCUGAAAACAGAGAAUCUAUUUGUAAGUCUACUUUCCCUUAAAAAAAAGAAUAGAACCUACAGAUUUAUUCUUACUGGCAUUACAAAUGCCAGAAGAGAAUCCAAGAGAGCUAAUUAAGAAAUGUAUCUCAGUUGCUGAAGGCUAUUGGUAACAAUAUUUUCCCUUUUAACCAUAAAAGAUGUAUCACUCAGAGUUACCACCCAAAGAUUUGUUCUUAAGAAUCAUGCAGGAAAAACCGGAGGAAGACUAAUGAUCACCACCUGGCUAUCCUUUAAUUCAGGUGGAAGGCUAAAUGUGACAAGGUUUUGCCUUGUGCCUCGAAGGGAUUAUUUAUGAUAUUGCAUCUUUUGCUACUCCAAUAUUAUUCAACCAUCAGUACAAUGCCUCAUACCUUGAUUUGGAAUAGAACUAGAACUGCUAUAACCAAGGAAGCAGCUGUGGCUCAAGGGGGGCAACAAAGGAUAGGGAGUUCAUGCCUAAAUGUGAACUCCCUAUUUUUGUUGCUCCUCUUUAUAACAAGGACAUGGAGUUGGAAUUAAAGAAUUUUGGAUUUAAAUUUUUUAAAUUAUAGAAGG